CGUAGUCGAUGGACAACAGGUUUAUAUUCCUGUACUUCCUAUAUGACUGAUGGAGUGACGGAGAAGGAUAGCAAGAGCCUAUUAUUGGAUUUAGGUUUAAAUGCUUAGGUUAGUGAGUUGGAAAAUCCGCUACACUAUUAAAACUGAAACAUGAUGACGCCGAUUCCUACGGGGAUCUAAGUCUUGUGAAUCCAUGCUUCCAAGAAAAACUUCUAAAGAUAUUGUAUAGGAACCUGUACCGCAAACCACCACAGGUGGUCAAGGAGAGAAUCCUAAGGUGAGCGAGAGAACUAUGGUUAAGGAACUCGGCAAAAUGACCCCGUAACUUCGGGAUAAGGGGAGGUCACUUCGGUGACCCGCAGAGAAUUGUCCCAGGCAACUGUUUACCAAAAACACAGGUCUCUGCUAAAGCGUAAGCUGAUGUAUAGGGGCUGACGCCUGCCCAGUGCUGGAAGGUUAAGAUGAUUUGUUAGUCGGACGAAAGUCGAUAACGGCGAAGCAUUGACUUGAAGCCCCAGUGAACGGCGGCCGUAACGAUAACGUUCCUAAGGUAGCGAAAUUCCUUGUCAGGUAAGUUCUGACCCGCACGAAAGGCGUAAUGAUCUGGGAGCUGUCUCAACCAUAGACUCGGUGAAAUCUUAAUACCUGUGAAAAUGCAGGUUACCCGCAGCAGGACGGAAAGACCCCAUGGAGCUUUACUGUAGGUUGAUAUUGGAAUCAGAUGUUAGUUGUAGAGGAUAGGUGGUAGACUAUGAUGUAUAGACGCUAGUUUAUACGGAGUCGCCCUUGGAAUACCACCCUUCUGAUAUUUGAUUUCUAACUCGCACCCAUUAUCUGGGUGGAGGACAGUGUCUGCUGGGCAGUUUGACUGGGGCGGUCGCCUCCUAAAAAGUAACGGAGGCGCCCAAAGGUUCCCUCAGAAUGGUUGGAAAUCAUUCAAAGAGUGUAAUGGUAUAAGGGAGCUUGACUGUGAGACUUACAAGUCGAGCAGGUACGAAAGUAGGGCAUAGUGAUCAGGCGGUAGAGUAUGGAAUUGCCGUCGCUUAACGGAUAAAAGUUACCCUGGGGAUAACAGGCUGAUACCACCCAAUAGUUCACAUAGACGGUGGUGAUUGGCACCUCGAUGUCGGCUCGUCACAUCCUGGAGGUGGAUUCGCUUCCAAGGGUUAGGCUGUUCGCCUAUUAAAGUGGCACGCGAGCUGGGUUCAGAACGUCGUGAGACAGUUCGGUCCCUAUCCGCUGUGGGCGUAGGAAAAUUGAGGAGAGCUGUUCCUAGUACGAGAGGACCGGAAUGGACUGACCAAUGGUGUAUCUGUUGUAACGCCAGUUGCAGUGCAGAGUAGCUAUGUCGGGAAGGGAUAACCGCUGAAAGCAUCUAAGCGGGAAGCCCACUUCAAGAUGAGUUUUCCCAUAUGUAUAUAGUAAGAACCGUUGUAGACUACAACGUUGAUAGGCUAGAGGUGGAAGCGUAGUGAUUCGUUGAGCUGACUAGUACUAAUAGUUCGAGGAUUUAAGC
rnacentral:rRNA from 1 species